GACGAACGCUGGCGGCGUGCUUAACACAUGCAAGUCGAGCGGUAAGGCCCUUUCGGGGGUACACGAGCGGCGAACGGGUGAGUAACACGUGAGCAACCUGCCCCUGACUCUGGGAUAAGCGCUGGAAACGGCGUCUAAUACUGGAUAUGUACCACGAUCGCAUGGUCUGUGGUUGGAAAGAUUUUUCGGUUGGGGAUGGGCUCGCGGCCUAUCAGCUUGUUGGUGAGGUAAUGGCUCACCAAGGCGU
rnacentral:rRNA from 1 species